UACGUAGGGAGCAAGCGUUGUCCGGAAUCAUUGGGCGUAAAGCGCGCGUAGGUGGCUUCGUAAGUCCGUUGUGAAAGUCAAAGGCUCAACCUUUGAAAGCCGAUGGAUACUGCGGAGCUAGAGUACGGAAGAGGAGAGUGGAAUUCCUGGUGUAGCGGUGAAAUGCGCAGAUAUCAGGAAGAACACCCGUGGCGAAGGCGGCUCUCUGGGACGGUACUGACGCUGAGACGCGAAAGCGUGGGGAGCAAACAGG
rnacentral:rRNA from 1 species